CUUUUUUUAUAUUUCCAAACAUCAAAGAAAUCCGUUUAAGGGAAGUUGCGUACGGAAAGUCAUGCACACAAAGUUCAACCAGUGCGGUAAAUGUAGGUUCUCAUGGUGCUUCAAAGGCUGUUGAUGGAGAUUUGAAUACAUUUAUGCAUACUGACCUAGAUCAAUCACCUUAUUGGAUUGUUGACCUUGGAAAAACAUACCAAAUAAAGCGGAUCGAAAUAUUCAACAGAAAGCAAGGCGCUAUAUAUACAGGUGAGUAAAGCUUUCUACGUGAUGGGAUAUUUCGGUAUGACGUAUAAUAAAUCUUUUUAUACACUAUUUGACAUUCUAUGAUUUGUAAUUUCUUUUGUUUGUGUUCAUUUUGUAGACUAACAUCGCUCUAUUUGACAAAACCUUUCGGAAAGUUGUGUUCUCAAUGAUCUUCAACUUCGUUCUUUAGUUGGACUUUUUAUAUGUUUUUUUUCGAGCGUCACUGAUCAGUCUUUUGUAGUAGAAACGCGCGUCUCACGUAUAAAAUGUUUAACCUGGUAUCCGUAUGUUAAGUUUACUUACUGUUAUUGACAUCUAAAUUCGAUUAUCUCUAUCUUUAUGAUAAAUUUCCGAAAUUUUAUUUGGUAAUUUUUGACAUGCUUUUUACGUUCUUAUAAACAGAAUUCUCUUUUUUAUGCAGAAUUUCCUGCACUGAUUUCCUGUUACAAAACUUUGAAUUUUACGAAAAACUAAGGAUUUUCUUAUCCCAGGCAUAGAUUACCUUAGCCGUAUUUGGCACAACUUUUUGGAAUUUUGGAUCGUCAAUGCUCUUCAACUUUGUACUUGUUGAUAUGGGCGUCACUGAUGAGUCUUAUGUAGACGAAACGCGCGUCUGGCGUACUAAAGGAUAAUCCUGGUACAUUUGAUAACUAUUAAGGCAGCAACCAUUUUGAUUUUCUGGGGGGGGGGGGGGGGGCUUGGUUUUUUUUUCUGGACAAAUUUUUUUUUUCGCCUCGGCGAAAAACAAUCUAUUUUGUUCGCGACAAGCGAAAAAAUUUUUUCUUUCAAUUCAGUAUUAACGAUGUGGCAGCUGAGGUGAAACAAACAAUUUUUUUUUCUCAGAAUCAAAAACAAUUAUUUUUUUCCCAAACUGAAACAAACUUUUUUCCAAAAAAACAUAGCCCCCCCCCAGAAAAUCAAAAUGGUGCUGCCUAAGCGUGUAGCAGAUAGUAAAAUUUCGAAAAAAGUGUUCUAUGACAUACGUGUGUAUGCAAGAUAAGGAGGAGAUUUCAAACCAACCGUGAGUGUAAACUGGAUAUCAGUAACGAAUCAAACGGGAUUACACAACAAGGAAUAGCCUAUACGAAAAUAUAAACACAUAAAUAAACUGCAAUCUAAGCAUAGGUUAAUUUAUUAACUUUUAAUUUGUUUCAGGACGACGUCUGCAUGACCUGGACAUUAUUGUUGGUACUUCAUUAAAUAACACGCAUCUAUGUACCCAAUACGCAGGACCGGCUGAACUCGGAGAACAUCUUGUGCUUGGAUGUCAAUAUGACGAAAAGGCACGUUUUGUGAAGUUGAUGCUACGAGGAAGAGAGUACUUACAUGUGGCGGAAGUCAAAGUGUAUACACUGUAUGAUUAAUCUAACUAAAUAAAUUAUACAUAUUACGUUUUCUUAUAGUUUACCCGACCACGUCCACUUGUAUUUUUGUCCAUCUGAUGAGUUAAGCCUUUUUCAACUGAUUUUUAUAGUUCGUUCUUAUGUUUUACUGUUAUACCACUGUCCCAGAUUAGGGGGAGGGUUGGGAUCCCGCUAACAUGUUUAACCCCGCCACAUUAUUAGCUCACCUGGCCCAAAGGGCUAAGUGAGUUUUUCUCAUCACUUUGCGUCCGGCGUCGUCGUCCGUCGUCGUCGUUGUCCGUCGUCGUUAGCUUUUACAAAAAUCUUCUCCUCUGAAACUACUG
rnacentral:lncRNA from 1 species